UUCAGGGGUAAACCUAAGAAACCCAAAAGAUCGAACGGGGAGAUUCAUCGUCAGCGGCGCUGGCUUCGCGUCGGUCGGCGAUGUCCCGCGGAGUCCUUGCGGCUCGCGCGCGGGCACGCUACCGUGCGCCGAUGUCCGGCGCUCGUCGUCGUGCACUUCUCCCCAAGUAGAACGUCGCGACCCACUGAGUGUCGGUCUACGGCCCGGGUGCGAUGUCUGUCGCGUCGCCGAUAAAACGGCACGCGACAAACCCUCGGUCGCCCGGCCGGCUGCUCGGCGGUACGCGCAAGGUAUCAGGCCGCACUAUUCACGGUGCGUCGAGACCGUCGCAAGCGCGCGCCACGGUACUCGGAGGUUACGGACUUCACGCCGUCCCCGGUCUUGGCCCGCUGUUGGUUACAGUACGGUACACCUUCGACAGGCGAACGUCUCCCGCGGUCUUCGCGGGAGACCGAUACCGGUCGGCGACGCUACUGCUUUGGAUACUCUU
rnacentral:rRNA from 1 species